AGUCGCGCAACGCUCGCGAGGAAAGUCCCCCCACCUGUUCGGGCAGGUGACCGGACGCAAGUCCGGAGCGGGAGACCGCUGGCUCUGGAACAGAAACGACACGUCUCGGCCUGACCGAUGAUGCGCGCGAACCCGACCGAGAGGAAGGGGAGCUGACCCGCAGAGGGAGGGCGACUCAGAGCGCCUCCGGCGCGAAAGUCACCUUAUGCGAGACGGCGUGAGCCGUCGAGCCCCGUGUGGUCGAUCGAUCGCGGUUCGAAACCGCGGGUUGCGCACGUCGUAACCGACCGCACGGAGACGGCCGAGGAUCGAUGGAACGGCGAACCCUCACCGGUGCAAGUCCGCGCCGUGGUAGCCCGAACACCGCGGCCUCGCCGCGACGGCGCGGACGCUCAGCCGAAUGCCGGGAUGAACAGAAGGG
rnacentral:RNase_P_RNA from 1 species